rnacentral:tRNA from 1 species
GCCCCAUUAGCUCAGUUGGAUAGAGCGCAAGAUUCCUAAUCUUGAGGCCGUUGGUUCGAGUCCAACAUGGGGUACCA